AUUGAACGCUGCGGCAGGCUUAACACAUGCAAGUCGAGCGAGCGUCGGUCGGGUGCGUAAUGCUUAGGACUCUGCCUCUUAGUGGGGGACGACAUCUCGAACGGGAUGCUAAUCCCGCAUACUAAUACAUUAGCCUAAGUCGGAUGAGCUAGUUGGUGGGGUCAAGGCCUACCAAGGCGACGAUCUGUAGCGGGUCUGAGAGGAUGAUCCGCCACACUGGGACUGAGACACGGCCCAGACUCCUACGGGAGGCAGCAGUGGGGAAUAUUGGACAAUGGGGGGAAGCCUGAUCCAGCCAUGCCGCGUGUGUGAAGAAGGCCUUAUGGUUGUAAAGCACUUUAAGCGAGGAGGCGUUACUCGCAGAAUAAGCACCGGCUAACUCUGUGCCAGCAGCCGCGGUAAUUC
rnacentral:rRNA from 1 species